rnacentral:lncRNA from 10 species
UGGGUGUGGUGGCUCAAGCCUAUAAUCCCAGCACUUUGGGAGGCUGAGGCCAGUGAUCACUUGAGCCCAGGAGUUUAAAGCCAGCCUGAGCAUCAUGGCAAGAUCCUGUCUCUACUAUAAAUAUGAAAACUAGCUGGGUGUGGUCGCACUGCCUCUAGUUUCACUGCCUGUAGUUUCAGCUGAGGUGGGAGGAUGGUUUGAGCCCAGGAGGUUGAGGUUGCAGUGAGCCAUGGUCGUGCCACUGCACUCCAGCCUGAGUGAUGGCGUGAGACUGUCUCAAAAAACAAAACAAAUCAUUGUACAUAGAUCUCUAGGUUCUCUCUGGUGACCUCGUAAGGCGACAUAUGAAGGGCCUCAUCAUUCCCCAAGAUUGUAUGUGCUUGAUCAACAGGAAGCUUGCUGAGUUUGACUCUGAAGGAUCUGGGCAGCAUCAGCAGCAUGAGGCUCCCGCAAAGACGGUUUGUCCAUUGGCAGUCACAUGUCUGUAGGAGCUGUGAUUGUGUGUAUGACGCCACCUUCUGCAGAGCAGGGUGGCUCUGCCCUUGGCAUCGCUUGCCAUCUUGUCUGCAUCUAGCUAGAGGGAUGGACUAAGGAUUGCUCAAGAGGGCAGUCCAGGAAGGCACACCUCGCUUCCUCUCCUUUCCCAUUUGCCAGAACUCAGCACCAAGGUCAGGUGCUGCCAGAGGCUCAAGAAUGUGGUCUCUAGCUGAGUAGCCCUAGGCCCACCUAAAAGGUGGCUGAAUGGUCUUCGGGCCAGCCAGCAGCCUCAGCACUCCUGGUUCCUGGAAAGGUUGAGGGGCCUCAGCACUCCUGGUUCCUGGAAAGGUUGAGGGGCCUCAGCACUCCUGGUUCCUGGAAAGGCUGAGGGGCCACGUGGUGUCUCCGUUGGUUGUCACAUUAGGUGAUCAUGUAUUAAAAGCUUUGCCAGGAGGAAGCUGGAGUUGAAGCCAAGCAUGAGUGUCAGGAGUGUUGUGCCACAUGGAGGGCACGCCAGUCCCAGCACUAGCACAUAGGGAGCAGCGCUGGGCCAUGUCAUUGCUCUGUAGGACUUCUUUGCUGCAAUGGUCCUGCCUCUGCCCAACCAGGGGUGGUUCUGGGAAGGGAACUGGUUUGUUGGCCAAAAGUUCUUGGAGGUUGACUAAGGAACAGGCACCUGAGCGGGCUGUUGCGUGGGGAACUCUGUAACUAUUUUCUCUAGAAGACCAAAAGGUAAAAUGUAGUGGAAGAGCUGACCUGGGAACUGGUUUUGGUUAAAAGGUGAAUUGGGAGCAUCUUAGGGACAAAGCGGGAAGGGGCAGGGGACCUACCUAAGGUAACUUUUGCCCGUUUGCUCCAGCAACGUGUCGGCGCAUGGUGUUAGUUAUACAGUGGUAAAAACAUGGGCUGUAGGGCCUGACACCAGCUGUCCAGACAGGUG